rnacentral:rRNA from 1 species
GAUGAACGCUGGCGGCGUGCCUAAUACAUGCAAGUCGAGCGAACGGACGAGAAGCUUGCUUCUCUGAUGUUAGCGGCGGACGGGUGAGUAACACGUGGAUAACCUACCUAUAAGACUGGGAUAACUUCGGGAAACCGUAGCUAAUACCGGAUAAUAUUUUGAACCGCAUGGUUCAAAAGUGAAAGACGGUCUUGCUGUCACUUAUAGAUGGAUCCGCGCUGCAUUAGCUAGUUGGUAAGGUAACGGCUUACCAAGGCAACGAUGCAUAGCCGACCUGAGAGGGUGAUCGGCCACACUGGAACUGAGACACGGUCCAGACUCCUACGGGAGGCAGCAGUAGGGAAUCUUCCGCAAUGGGCGAAAGCCUGACGGAGCAACGCCGCGUGAGUGAUUAAGGUCUUCGGAUCGUAAAACUCUGUUAUUAGGGAAGAACAUAUGUGUAAGUAACUGUGCACAUCUUGACGGUACCUAAUCAGAAAGCCACGGCUAACUACGUG